GGCGCCCCUGGGGGCAGCAAGAGGCGGUGCCGGCGGUGCGGGGGGCGGGGCCGGGGCGGCCGAGACCUGCCCUGCCCUCCGGGGCGGCCCCGAGCCCGGCCGGGCCCUCGGAAGUCGGAAGAGGAGGGUGCCGAGUGGCUGCGAACAUCGAAAGGCAGCGUCAAGUUCUGCUUCCCGCGCUGACCGGCCCCGCUCGCCCACGCGUGCCCGGGGAGGCUGGGGGCCAGCCGAGGGGCGGGCGCGGGGCCGGGGGCGCGGGGAAGUGAGCGGAAGUCGGAGCAGAGACCGCGGAAGGAGGGUGGCUGGCGGCGGUCGCGGCAGUCUCCGAGGCCGGUUCAGAUUUGCUGUUUCCGCGUCAGCUUUCCUGGUUUAAGACUAGAGUGUGGCCGCGCUGUGCUUUUCUGUAGAAAGCAACGGUCGAGAGUGCCUCUCGGGUGUAGUGCUCCGAUCGGAAAGGCGGGAGCUUGGUGAUCAAGGGGUUCAGUGCGGCUCAGCCGAUUCCUCAACCUGCCCCUCAAGGGCUCCCCGUUCUGAAAAUGAGUUCUUCAUGUCUGCGGUCCCCGUGUUGGAAACCUGCAGAGGAUGUUGCGGGGGGAAGGGAGGGCUCAGUCUUCCAGGCCGAAGUUUACUUCAAAAAGAGUUGCCAUCCAUUUUUAUUGAAAAUUAAGAUGACACCUUGAUUUAUCUGUGCACAGAGUCAUUCAUUCAACAAAAAUUUGCCAAGCACCUAUCCAGUGCCAGGCUCUGUGCUGAUGCUGGGAACACUGGGCAAGACCUGGUCCUUAUCUUCCAGGAGGUUAGCGUCUAGUUGAUGGACAUGCAUAUAUAAAC
rnacentral:lncRNA from 1 species